rnacentral:lncRNA from 1 species
AAACAUGCUCUCAUGGAAUGCAACACAUAAUCACAUCACCUCGGCCGGACGGAUCAAAACUCCCUCUAUCUCAUCUGGGGUACCUAAGUACCAUGUGCCUGGUCCCCGUAGGGCUGUUCCAGGUCUUUCCUCUGAGGGCUAAUGAAUCCUCACGAAGUCCGUGCCGUCUCACAUAAGCAAUGUACAAGGAGCAAUGCCAAGUACAAGGAUAAAUGCAAUGCAUCAUCUUUGUGUACACUAAUGCACUCACCCUAUAGCAUAUUCAUGAUGCAUGAAGCAUGAUAAAAUAUUCAGUU